rnacentral:rRNA from 1 species
UAGGGAAUCUUCCGCAAUGGGCGAAAGCUUGACGGAGCAACGCCGCGUGAGUGAUGAAGGUCUUCGGAUCGUAAAACUCUGUUAUUAGGGAAGAACAAAUGUGUAAGUAACUAUGCACGUCUUGACGGUACCUAAUCAGAAAGCCACGGCUAACUACGUGCCAGCAGCCGCGGUAAUACGUAGGUGGCAAGCGUUAUCCGGAAUUAUUGGGCGUAAAGCGCGCGUAGGCGGUUUUUUAAGUCUUAUGUGAAAGCCCACGGCUCAACCGUGGAGGGUCAUUGGAAACUGGAAAACUUGAGUGCAGAAGAGGAAAGUGGAAUUCCAUGUGUAGCGGUGAAAUGCGCAGAGAUAUGGAGGAACACCAGUGGCGAAGGCGACUUUCUGGUCUGUAACUGACGCUGAUGUGCGAAAGCGUGGGGAUCAAACAGG